GAUUUCUGGCGUUUCAUUUCAGGCCGGCCACGGUUUCGUGUGUUAGUGCUUGAGAUCUUCGCCAUCCUUCCAAUGGCUAUUCAUCCUUCUUCAUUGAAGGUGUGAGUGGUAUUGGAUCUUUUACUUUGAAAAAAUUAGAGUGUUUCAAGCAGGCUUUAUGCUAUGAAUACAUUAGCAUGGAAUAAUAAUUUAGGACUUCGGUUCUAUUUUGUUGGUUUCUAGGACUGAAGUAAUGAUUGAUAGGGAUAGUUGGGGGUGCUAGUAUUCAGCGGCCAGAGGUGAAAUUCUCGGAUUCGCUGAAGACUAACUUAUGCGAAAGCAUU
rnacentral:rRNA from 2 species